rnacentral:rRNA from 1 species
AUUGAACGCUGACGGCAGGCCUAACACAUGCAAGUCGAACGAGUGGCGGACGGGUGAGUAAUGUCUGGGAAACUGCCUGAUGGAGGGGGAUAACUACUGGAAACGGUAGCUAAUACCGCAUACCAUCAGAUGUGCCCAGAUGGGAUUAGCUAGUUGGUGGGGUAACGGCUCACAAAGGCGAAGAUCCCUAGCUGGUCUGAGAGGAUGACCAGCCACACUGGAACUGAGACCCGGUCCAGACUCCUCCGUGCGGCAGCUGUGGGGAAUAUUGCACAAUGGGCGCAAUCCUGAUGCAGCCAUGCCUCGUGUAUGAAGAAGGCCUUCGGGUUGUAAAGUACUUUCAGCGGGGAGGCGUUACCCGCAGAAGAAGCACCGGCUAACUCCGUGCCAGCAGCCGCGGUAAUUC